AGUGAACGCUGGCGGUAGGCCUAACACAUGCAAGUCGAACGGCAGCACAGUAAGAGCUUGCUCUUACGGGUGGCGAGUGGCGGACGGGUGAGGAAUACAUCGGAAUCUACUUUUUCGUGGGGGAUAACGUAGGGAAACUUACGCUAAUACCGCAUACGACCUACGGGUGAAAGCAGGGGAUCUUCGGACCUUGCGCGAUUGAAUGAGCCGAUGUCGGAUUAGCUAGUUGGCGGGGUAAAGGCCCACCAAGGCGACGAUCCGUAGCUGGUCUGAGAGGAUGAUCGGCCACACUGGAGCUGCGCCACGCUCCAGACUCCUACGGGAGGCCGCAGUGGGGAAUAUUGGACAAUGGGCGCAAGCCUGAUCCAGCCAUACCGCGUGGGUGAAGAAGGCCUUCGGGUUGUAAAGCCCUUUUGUUGGGAAAGAAAAGCAGCAGGUUAAUACCCCGCUGUUCUGACGGUACCCAAAGAAUAAGCACCGGCUAACUUCGUG
rnacentral:rRNA from 1 species